GCCAAUACAAAAGAGGGAGCGAGAGCAAGAAGACUUCAUGAAAUGAUUUCUAUAGAAAAUCUAAACCGGAGGUCGUCCACUUCAUCAUAAGCCAACGCCCAACGGAAAACCUUGUCUUGAUUUGGAAGAGAAAUGGGAUGUUGAUAGAAUUGAAAUGGAUGAUGGUUGUGUUUUGAUCAUCAAGCACCGGUACUUUCUUUUCGAAGGGAAAGGAGCCGACACGGUAGCAGCGCAUCGCACACUCAAUUUUCACACUAUGAUGUUCUUGGGAUUGUACUCUGACAUUAUUAUUAUUCAACGGCAUGUUUUAUGAUAUUUAACUUAUGUGAUUAUGGUUUGGUAUGAUAUCGAUGA